rnacentral:rRNA from 1 species
UAGGGAAUCUUCCACAAUGGACGCAAGUCUGAUGGAGCAACGCCGCGUGAGUGAAGAAGGUUUUCGGAUCGUAAAGCUCUGUUGUUGGUGAAGAAGGAUAGAGGCAGUAACUGGUCUUUAUUUGACGGUAAUCAACCAGAAAGUCACGGCUAACUACGUGCCAGCAGCCGCGGUAAUACGUAGGUGGCAAGCGUUGUCCGGAUUUAUUGGGCGUAAAGCGAGCGCAGGCGGAAUGAUAAGUCUGAUGUGAAAGCCCACGGCUCAACCGUGGAACUGCAUCGGAAACUGUCAUUCUUGAGUGCAGAAGAGGAGAGUGGAAUUCCAUGUGUAGCGGUGGAAUGCGUAGAUAUAUGGAAGAACACCAGUGGCGAAGGCGGCUCUCAGGUCUGCAACUGACGCUGAGGCUCGAAAGCAUGGGUAGCGAACAGG